AACAAGGCGUACCUGCGGACCUGCGGAGGGAUCAUUACCGAGUGUGAACCCCCCCGUAAAAAAGAGGGGUUACCUCCCGUCCUUUGCUGGGAACCCCUUUCCAACUUGGAAGGAGGUUGUUUUCAGACCCUUCUGCUUCGGUGGGGUAACCCACCGGAACAACCUCAAAAAUAUUCUCAAUUCAAAACCGUUCAGUCCGAGAACUUUUUUGAAAAGCGAAAAAACUUUCAACAACGGAUC
rnacentral:misc_RNA from 1 species